UCAGGUGACACAAUCCAACAUUACGAUUGGUCCAAUAUCUCGAUUGGUGAAAUCAACAUGAUCAAAUCAAGUCAUGGCUAGAUCGAAAUAAUGGAUGAUCAAUCUAAAGAUUCAUGGUCUAAUUAAGGUGGGUGCCAGUACGCUGUCUGACAACCAUGGAUCAGGGUUCUUCAUUAGAAUCAGAUCAGGACUAUUAAAAGAAAUUUCUUCAUUUACUAACCUUUUUA
rnacentral:lncRNA from 1 species